GUUUCCUUCCGGGCCCCUGGUCGCCGGAGCACGGGCCUGCGCAGUUGGCGCCGUUUCACUUUCGCCACCGAGGCGGGGCCCGCUGGGAGUCCCGGACCGUUGGGCCGUCAUGAGGGGCUGACUUGACAUUUGUGUCGGCGGGAGGCUGGCCGCGGAGAGGUCAUGGUCGGGCUGGAAUUGCUCUACGCCUCGGCGGCGCCGGGGAUCACCUGCUGCCAGGAUGCGCUUGUCUGCUUUGUGCACUGGGAGCUCAUCAGCGACGGCUACCAAGGCCUGGGUACCGGCGACCAGCCAGGUCCAGAUGAUAAGAAAUCUGAGCUGCUGCCAUCUGGAUGGAAUGCCAAUAAAGAUCUGUAUGUCCUUCGCUAUGAGACCACAGAUAAGUCAAAGGAACUCCUUCUGAAGGCCAUCAUGGUGGAUGAUAGCAUGAUUAUCAAUGCUUUGGAGUGUAAGUCACAACAAGUGGUGGACUUGACCCUGAACGUGGAGGAUUAUGUGGAUGGUGAACACCUGGGUAACUUCCACAGGGUCUACAAGAACAGCAAAGAGCUCCAGAAAAGGAUUGCUUCAGGCCUCAUUUCACCCCUCCGCAACUCUUUGAGCAAAAGUGAUUCUUCCACUUCCCCUCGGGAAUUUCCGCCUGCCACUUCUAGAGAAUACGACCCUCUCCGUAUUCCCCCCCACCAUCCACAUACCAGCAGACAGCCUCCUUGCAUUUUACUGGGGUCUAAUCUACUCAGAGCCCAUCUGGACUUUGUGCCCAGUUGUGAGUGCCACAUUUUAGGAGGAACAUUGACAAGAUGGAACACAUCCAGAAGAGGAUGACUUCAGAAUGGGAAGGGGAUUCAGACAGCAUCAUACAAUGAUUACUUAAAGGAAAUGGGAAUGUUUAGCCUUGAGAAAGAGGCGUGAUCCCCUGGGUCCCUUUGCCGUUGGGGGAGAGGACCUGGAUCCCUUUAGGGGUCAGAGAGGUGGCAUGAUUCUGGACCCCCUGAGAACUGGCUUCCCAAGAGCUCUCAUUGACCCAUCUUCUGGACUCCCCAACCGGCUUCCUCCAGGUGCUGUUCCUCCCGGAGCUCGAUUUGAUCCUUUUGGCCCCAUUGGAACUAGUCCAUCUGGACCCAGUCCAGAUCAUCUCCCACCCCCAGGCUAUGAUGACAUGUUCAUGUGAAGGCCAUAAAAAUGUACAUCCCAGCCUGAGCAUCUUUAUAGAGCUGAACCAAGAUCAUCAGUUUUCAUCCAGUCCUGAAGCUUAGGAAUCCUCUAAUGGAUUGGAAGUUCAGCUGGAAUUGCCUGCCCAUCCCCACAAUAACCAAGGCACCAUCCAUUCUCCAUCUCUGCCUUGGAAAACUCACUGCUUAUAAAUCAAGAAGAGAAGUCAACGUUUAUCUCUUUCAUCACCAACUUCUGGUUCCUAUAGAAAAUUUUUGGCAGUGUGUGACCUCACUCCUGCUUCAAUCCUGGUUGCAGUGUUCUAAGGACAGAAAGCAUUUGAUGUAUUAUUGAGAACUCAAAUGUCAAUACAAAAAUUGUGCUGUUGGGUCAAUCUUCCACUUAUCUUUUUUUUUUUUUUUAAAUGCAUAUAGUCUUCCCUCCAAAACAAAAGGAUUUGAUGUUUUAUGAUUCUAAGACUAGCCUUCCCUUUCUUUUCUCCAGUGAGUACCUUUGUAUAAUUUUCAAAUGCUUUUCUUUCAUAAAUUACUAUUGCUGCUUCCAUUACUGAGACUUAAUCCCCAUUUCAUUUGCGAUGGAUGUUAAAUGCAUUUCUGGAAUCUGUUUAGUGAAGGCAAGUGUGGAUGAUUUGGGAAAGGAGAAGAGGGAUGGAAUACAAAUUUCACUGAUUCUUAUUUAUAGGAGCCUGGGAUUGCUGUCCAUGGUGGGACUUAGUCAGGGUUGCAUUAGAGAUUGGAAUGAGAAAGGAAUGAAGAAGAUAGCUUUUAUAACUUGCACUCUUGGGCAAUACAUCUCUAAAUCAUGACUUGUUCAGUGUUCAUUAGUUCUGGAAGGCAUUUUAGAAAUCAUCUAAUCAAAUGCCUUCAUUUUAAUUUAUUUUUUAACAUAUUGUUGGUGUCAUUUGUUUUUACAUCAAUGAUUAUGUCUGCAUGCAUUAUCUCUCUCUACUCCCCUUGCUCUCCCCAGUUAUCCUUCUCUUGUAAACAAAAAACGUUAAGCAAACCCAGCCAAUACAUCAGUGAAUGUUGAGAACAUAUGCAGCAUACAAUAUACUUAAUGUCUGUCUUCGCUAAUAGAGCAGAAGAAGGUUCAUUUUCUGAUUUCAGGACCAAAAUAGGUUAUUAUAGUUGCACAGUACUCACUGUUUUUGUUUAUAAUAUUAUACUCUUAUUAUUUU